rnacentral:lncRNA from 1 species
GCCUGCAUGGAAUAUCUCCAUCUCUGACAAAGGUGCCUAGAUCUGUGGUGUGUUGGCAUCCCAGAUGAGGGCACCGCUCUGUUUGUGUUAACAGAAAAUGCCAUCGAAAUUAACAGUGCACGAAUGUUGUUGUGGUCAGACAGUGUCAGCGCAAUAAAUUACCGUACGUGUGAGAGGUGGCAGGCUGGGAGUCUCUCCGUACUCCAUCCUUCCUGGGAUGAAGCUGCUCGUUCUUCCUUGUUAAAUGCACACGGUAGCAGUCGUAAGGGAUUUUUGUCCUGUUAGUCCCCGAAGAUCAGAGAGGAGCUGAUGCAAAGAGGAAAUAUACUGCACAGGAUUAAACAGCAGAGGGUAUGCAUGCUCGCGCACACCCGGGCAGCGUGUCUGCUCUUGUGCUCUGUAUUGUUAUUGACACACCGCACCUUAAUGGCUAUAAUGUCAAUGGGCACUUUGGGACCUUUACUCGUGGAUUAUUAAUGCAUUAGACCACAGCUUUUAUGGGUUAUCAUGUCAAGAGCGGUGGGAGUGGAUGCCUGCAGUAUACGGGCAGAAUAAAGAUAUUUUUUAAUCAGAGCUGCAUGUACAGCAGAGCCCUGUACUAAACCUCAGAAAUCCCAUUUGCUGCUGUGCCAUACCUGCUCCCAGCAUGUGUGAUCUCACUGCGACUUGGCGGGCAGCGUGGAAACAAUGACAGCGACCAGAGGAAAAGGGACUGGAAAUACAGUCCGGGGAAAGGAAGGGAUGCUUGCCGCUGUAACUAGGCAAUUGCGCAUUGCCGUCCCAGGAUGGGGGAGAUUAUUUCCUGGUGCUAGCCACUGAUACCCUGCAACAUGAAGAUUAAUAGGCUCUUUAUUUUAUUGUUAGGAACUGCAGGUGCUGCUUUUAUUUAUAUAAAUGUGUGCUGGCUCCUGGCCGUGGGCUCAGCCCAGGACGAAUUCUCCUGUGGGACUUCAGGGAGAGGAACUUUCUCAUACUGCCUCUGCCCGAGAGCCAACGUCACAUCACAUUUGAAUGUGAGCAUGGAGUGCCUGCAUGGUCCUUUGAUAGAAACUACAGGAAACACUGAUGGGGCACAAUGUCCAUGCCUUCUUCCACAGCUGGGCUGUCUCACCAUAACCACGAGAGCAGGGGAAGGAAAGCAGGAUGGCAGCAACGUGGCCAGGGCUGUUCAGAGGGAGGAAAGCAGUUAUCUGUCUCUAUUCAUGGAGGGGUUUUCUGCACAAUCUGCUUCCAGACACUUUUUUUUUUUUCCCCAAGCUCAUUCCUCUUAA